ACACUUACCUGGCAGUGGAAAUACCCAUGAUCACAAAGGUGGUUUUUCCAUGGCCAGCCUUAUCCAUUGCACUCAGAUGUGCUGACCCCUGCAAUUUCCCAAAAUGUGAAAAACUUGACUGCAUAAUUUGUGAUAGUGAGACUUUUGUUCACACUUUCCCUGA